GAGGAUGCGAGCGUUAUCCGGAUUUAUUGGGUUUAAAGGGUGCGUAGGCGGAACUUUAAGUCAGCGGUAAAAUCGAGGAGCUCAACUCCUUCCCGCCGUUGAAACUGGAGAUCUCGAGUGGGCGAGAAGUAUGCGGAAUGCGAGGUGUAGCGGUGAAAUGCAUAGAUAUCACGCAGAACUCCGAUUGCGAAGGCAGCAUACCGGCGCCCUACUGACGCUGAAGCACGAAAGCGUGGGUAUCGAA
rnacentral:rRNA from 1 species